GUAGACGUUAGCUCAGUGGUUAGAGCGCAGGCCUCUGGCUCUCGGGUCCACGAGUUCGAGUCCCGUCGUCUACU
rfam:Trichomalopsis sarcophagae strain Alberta scaffold5562, whole genome shotgun sequence.